CUAGCAUAUCAAUAAGCGGAGGAAAAGAAACCAACAGGGAUUGCCCCAGUAACGGCGAGUGAAGCGGCAAGAGCUCAAAUUUGAAAUCUGGCCUCCCCCGGGGGCCCGAGUUGUAAUUUGCAGAGGAUGUUUCGGGUGCGGCCGCCGUCUAAGUUCCUUGGAACAGGACGUCAGAGAGGGUGAGAAUCCCGUCUUGGGCGGGCGGUCCGCGCCCGUGUGAAGCUCCUUCGACGAGUCGAGUUGUUUGGGAAUGCAGCUCUAAGCGGGUGGUAAAUUUCAUCUAAAGCUAAAUAUUGGCCGGAGACCGAUAGCGCACAAGUAGAGUGAUCGAAAGGUUAAAAGCACCUUGAAAAGGGAGUUAAACAGCACGUGAAAUUGUUGAAAGGGAAGCGCUUGCGGCCAGACUCGGGGGCGGGGUUCAGCGGGUGCUCGUCGCCCGUGUAUUCCUCGUUUCCCGGGCCAGCAUCAGUUUCGACGGCCGGUCAAAGGCCCCCGGAAUGUGUCGUCUCUCGGGACGUCUUAUAGCCGGGGGUGCAAUGCGGCCCGUCGGGACUGAGGAACGCGCUCCGGCUCGGAUGCUGGCGUAAUGGCCGUAAGCGGCCCGUCUUGAAACACGGACCAAGGAGUCUAACAUCCACGCGAGUGUUCGGGUGUCAAACCCGUGCGCGCAGUGAAAGCGAACGGAGGUGGGAGCCCUAGGGCGCACCAUCGACCGAUCCUGAAGUCUUCGGAUGGAUUUGAGUAGGAGCGUGGCCGUUGGGACCCGAAAGAUGGUGAACUAUGCCUGAAUAGGGUGAAGCCAGAGGAAACCCUGGUGGAGGCUCGCAGCGGUUCUGACGUGCAAAUCGAUCGUCGAAUUUGGGCAUAGGGGCGAAAGACUAAUCGAC
rnacentral:rRNA from 1 species